GGGGCAUUAGCAGUUCUUUAUGGCCUACAUUCGAAGCAUUUCAUUAAGAAAUCAGAGGUUCUAUUAGGUAGAGCGACCGAGGAUGUCAUUGUGGACAUUGACCUAGGAAGGGAGGGAAGCGGUAACAAAAUAUCUCGACGGCAGGCAAUUAUAAAAAUUGAUCAAGAUGGAUUUUUCUCCCUGAAGAAUCUUGGCAAAUGCUCA
rnacentral:misc_RNA from 1 species